rnacentral:tRNA from 1 species
GCCUUGGUAGUGUAGUGGCCUAGCAUUCAAGAUUGUCACUCUUGCGACCCGGGUUCAAAAACAGCCCUUUCUUUUUUAAAAAAGAAAGGUCCGUCACCCCCAAAGAAAAAUUUGGGUUUGAAAAUCCCGGCCAAGGCG